UCGAUAGCUCAGUUGGUAGAGCAGGGGACUGAAAAUCCCCGUGUCACUGGUUCGAUUCCCGUUCGAGC
rnacentral:tRNA from 1 species